rnacentral:rRNA from 1 species
CUACGGGUUGCUGCAGUGAGGAAUAUUGCACAAUGGGGGGAACCCUGAUGCAGCAACGCCGCGUGGAGGAUGACGCAUUUCGGUGUGUAAACUCCUUUUAUAUGUCAAGAAAAUGACGGUAGCAUAUGAAUAAGCGCCGGCUAACUCCGUGCCAGCAGCCGCGGUAAUACGGAGGGCGCAAGCGUUACUCGGAGUCACUGGGCGUAAAGGACGCGUAGGCGGGUUGAAAAGUCAGGUGUGAAAGCCUACAGCUUAACUGUAGAACUGCACUUGAAACUCUCAACCUAGAGUAUGGGAGGGGCAGAUGGAAUUAGUGGUGUAGGGGUAACAUCCGUAGAUAUCACUAGGAAUACCUAAAGCGAAGGCGAUCUGCUGGAACAUUACUGACGCUAAGGCGUGAAAGCGUGGGGAGCAAACAGGAUUAGAUACCCGGGUAGUC